CUUUAAGAUGAAAGGGACUUCCUGUUUUCCUUCCCUACUCUUCAUAUCAGAUGAAACAACUGGAACUUCACAGCAUCACCUCGGCUGAUCCAGUCUGCCCCGCUCCCUCCAGAAAUUUAGCACUGAAGUCCCAGAUUCCAUCUCCUGUCAUAGUGAUCGAUGAUUCCCUCAACAGAACCAGAGAAGCAUUCUGCAAUGAUCAAUAAAUCAGUUGUUUGGAUCAAGUGACCUUGCCUGGCGUUGCAGUGCUGGGAAGAAACCGGAACACCUGAGGGAAAAAACAUACACAAAAUGCUGGAAGAAUUCAGCAGGCCAGGCAGCAUCCAUGGAAAAAAGUACAGUCGGUGUCUCAGGCGGCAUUUUGUGUGUGUUGCUCUCAUUUCUAGCACUUGAAGAUUUUCUCUUGUUUGGCACCUGAAGGAACCCACAUAGUCACAGGAGAAUGUACAAACACCUUACAGACAGCAGUGGAAAUAGAAUGCUGAUCUAGCAGAUUGCACUGUAUAGUGUUAUGAUAAUUGCUGUGCCACCAUGCCACCCAUACAUAUGU